ACUUCUCUGGGAGUCCUUUUGAGGAUGUGUGUUCCGCAAAUAUACAGAGGUUCAGAUCUAGCAGAAUCAUAAACCAAAGCUCUCUUGCUCAACUUUUGCUAUCCUUUUUCGACAAGUUUUCAGAUAUUAGAACUUCUGGUUCAGAUUAUAGCAUCUCGACAUAUGAAGGACGACAAAAAAGCCAUCAUUUUUGUAGAUCGCUGCCCCUGAUUAUAGAGGAUCCUUUCAAGCGAAUGGAAAAUGCUGCUAGAACAGUCCGC